GUGGGGAAUAUUGGACAAUGGGCGAAAGCCUGAUCCAGCCAUGCCGCGUGAGUGAUGAAGGCCUUAGGGUUGUAAAGCUCUUUUGUGCGGGAAGAUAAUGACGGUACCGCAAGAAUAAGCCCCGGCUAACUUCGUGCCAGCAGCCGCGGUAAUACGAAGGGGGCUAGCGUUGCUCGGAAUCACUGGGCGUAAAGGGUGCGUAGGCGGGUCUUUAAGUCAGGGGUGAAAUCCUGGAGCUCAACUCCAGAACUGCCUUUGAUACUGAGGAUCUUGAGUUCGGGAGAGGUGAGUGGAACUGCGAGUGUAGAGGUGAAAUUCGUAGAUAUUCGCAAGAACACCAGUGGCGAAGGCGGCUCACUGGCCCGAUACUGACGCUGAGGCACGAAAGCGUGGGGAGCAAACAGGAUUAGAAACCCGGGUAGUCC
rnacentral:rRNA from 1 species